rnacentral:rRNA from 1 species
UAGGGAAUCUUCCGCAAUGGACGAAAGUCUGACGGAGCAACGCCGCGUGAGUGAAGAAGGAUUUCGGUUCGUAAAACUCUGUUGUUAGGGAAGAAAAAAUGUAUAGUAACUAUAUACAAAAGAGACGGUACCUAACCAGAAAGCCACGGCUAACUACGUGCCAGCAGCCGCGGUAAUACGUAGGUGGCAAGCGUUGUCCGGAAUUAUUGGGCGUAAAGCGCGCGCAGGUGGUUUAGAAAGUCUGAUGUGAAAGCCCACGGCUCAACCGUGGAGGGUCAUUGGAAACUAAUAAACUUGAGUGCAGGAGAGAAAAGUGGAAUUCCUAGUGUAGCGGUGAAAUGCGUAGAGAUUAGGAGGAACACCGGUGGCGAAGGCGGCCUUCUGGGCCACGACUGACGCUGAGGCGCGAAAGCUAGGGGAGCGAACAGG